rnacentral:rRNA from 1 species
GACGUAGGAGACGAGCGGUAUCCGGAUUUACUGGGUGUAAAGCGCGUGUAGGCGGCGAGGUAAGUUGGAUGUGAAAGCUCCUGGCUUAACUGGGAGAGGUCGUUCAAGACUGCCUGGCUAGAGUGCAGCAGAGGGGAGUGGAAUUCCGAGUGUAGCGGUAAAAUGCAUAGAUAUUCGGAAGAACACCAGUGGCGAAGGCGGCUCUCUGGGCUGCAACUGACGCUCAGACGCGAAAGCUAGGGGAGCGAACGGG